rfam:Otolemur garnettii contig022514, whole genome shotgun sequence.
CUGGGCUAUGGGGACAUGUACCCCAAAACUUGGUCAGGCAUGCUGGUGGGGGCGUUGUGUGCGCUGGCAGGCGUGCUUACUAUUGCCAUGCCAGUGCCCGUCAUUGUCAACAAU